UCAAGAGCGAGAGGAGGUGAAAGGUCAAGCAGCAGGUAAAACAAAUGUGGUAUUUGUUUUACUGGUACACUUGCAUAGUUUUUUUUUUUUUUUUUACAUAAGUCGUCUUAUUUCUGUGUCUAUCUGAAGUGACUUCUCAAAUGCUCUCUGACUUUUAGAUCGUUCCAGCUUCUGCUCUUUUCCUUCCCUCCUCCUCUUUUUAUCAUGUCAGAUACAUUUUUAUGAUUUCCCUCAUUCACCUUUGUUAUGAAGUAGUUCUAGGGCAAAACAGCUAAUAAAGACAGAGAAGAGACUUUAAUAAGUUGUUCUGUGCUUUGCUAAUUAUUCACACCGUUUGAACUUUUCAAAUUUCAUCACUUUACAAUCACAAACCUCAAUCUAUGUUAUUAGGGUUGCAACCAUUUUGGUCAGAAGUGCCAGUGGCUCAGUGGACAGGGUUUUCUGUAAGCGGUGAGUUCCCGGUUUGGAUCCCUACUCUGUCCGUCUCAGUUGUUGGGCAAAUUACUUCACCUGCCUCACCUGUAGGUGGUAAUCAGAGCGCCCGGUGCCGAUUGGAUGGCAGUCUAGAUUCUGUUAGUCUGCCCCAAGGCAGCUGUGGCUAUUAUAUAGCUCACAACUAUAAUGUGUGAAUGGGUGGAUGACUGAUUGUAGUGUAAAGUGCUUUGGAGUCCUCAGACUUGAUAAAGCACUAUACAAAUGCAGGUCAUUUACCAUAUGUUACUUAUGCUAACUAUGUGUGAUUCAAUCUCAGCUAUUCUUUGAAGGCUGCAGAGGAAACUCAGCAAACAUCUAUGACCAAACAACACAACAGAAAGGUCAGGGAUGAAGCUGUGGGGAUAUUUAAGGUAGGAUUAGGUUAUAAAACAUCAUGGAUGGAAGGUUAAUUCAUCAUCAGAGGGAAAUGGCCACUAAAUCAAACAGUUAAAGCAUUCCUUAAUGGUCCCUGAUAAUUCUGGAGGAGCUGCAGAAAUCCACAGCUCAGGUGCAAAAUAAAACAAAACAUUGUGUUUAAUAAAAUAUCUCAAGCGAGCAUAACUUAACUCUCAUCAACUUGUUGAACACUCAUCAAGUGGUGUGAACUUUUGGAUAAAAAAUGCUUGAUAAGUUAAUCAUUUUAAAUUGA